UUUAUUGGGCGUAAAGCGAGCGCAGGCGGUUAGAUAAGUNUGAAGUUAAAGGCUGUGGCUUAACCAUAGUACGCUUUGGAAACUGUUUAACUUGAGUGCAGAAGGGGAGAGUGGAAUUCCAUGUGUAGCGGUGAAAUGCGUAGAUAUAUGGAGGAACACCGGUGGCGAAAGCGGCUCUCUGGUCUGUAACUGACGCUGAGGCUCGAAAGCGUGGGGAGCGAACAGGAUUAGAUACCCUGGUAGUNCACGCCGUAAACGAUGAGUGCUAGGUGUUAGGCCCUNUCCGGGGCCUAGUGCCGCAGCUAACGCAUUAAGCACUCCGCCUGGGGAGUACGACCGCAAGGUUGAAACUCAAAGGAAUCGACGGGGGCCCGCACAAGCGGUGGAGCAUGUGGUUCAAUUCGAAGCAACGCGAAGAACCUUACCAGGUCUUGACAUCCCGAUGCCCGCUCUAGAGAUAGAGUUUUACUUCGGUACAUCGGUGACAGGUGGUGCAUGGUUGUCGUCAGCUCGUGUCGUGAGAUGUUGGGUUAAGUCCCGCAACGAGCGCAACCCUUAUUGUUAGUUGCCAUCAUUCAGUUGGGCACUCUAGCGAGACUGCCGGUAAUAAACCGGAGGAAGGUGGGGAUGACGUCAAAUCAUCAUGCCCCUUAUGACCUGGGCUACACACGUGCUACAAUGGCUGGUACAACGAGUCGCAAGUCGGUGACGGCAAGCUAAUCUCUUAAAGCCAGUCUCAGUUCGGAUUGUAGGCUGCAACUCGCCUACAUGAAGUCGGAAUCGCUAGUAAUCGCGGAUCAGCACGCCGCGGUGAAUACGUUCCCGGGCCUUGU
rnacentral:rRNA from 1 species